AUUUGGGAGUCUUUAUUUCAUCCACCUCGAAAGCUGGGCAUUAACGAUAUUGAAGGACAGCGGGUACUUCAGAUUGCAGUGAUUUUGCGAAAUCUUUCCUUUGAGGAGGGCAAUGUUAAGCUCUUGGCAGCUAAUCGUACCUGUCUUCGUUUCCUAUUACUUUCUGCACAUAGUCAUUUUAUUUCUUUAAGGCAAUUAGGCCUUGACACAUUAGGAAAUAUUGCAGCUGAGCUUUUACUGGACCCUGUUGAUUUCAAAACUACUCAUCUGAUGUUUCAUACUGUUACAAAAUGUCUAAUGUCAAGGGAUAGAUUUUUAAAGAUGAGAGGUGAGUUUUCACUGAAGUAUUUACUUUCUAAAGUAAACAAACUAUCAUUUCUUAGUAAUACAUAUUUGUAUGUUUUUCAGGCAUGGAAAUUUUGGGAAAUCUUUGCAAAGCAGAAGAUAAUGGUGUUUUAAUUUGUGAGUAUGUGGAUCAGGAUUCCUACAGAGAGAUCAUUUGUCAUCUCACUUUACCUGAUGUGCUGCUUGUAAUCUCAACACUCGAGGUGCUAUACAUGCUCACGGAAAUGGGAGAUGUUGCUUGCACAAAAAUUGCAAAAGUAGAAAAGAGCAUAGACAUGUUAGUGUGUCUGGUUUCUAUGGAUAUUCAGAUGUUUGGCCCUGAUGCACUAGCUGCGGUAAAACUCAUUGAACACCCAAGUUCCAGUCAUCAAAUGUUAUCUGAAAUUAGGCCACAAGCUAUAGAGCAAGUCCAAACCCAGACUCAUGUAGCAUCUGCCCCAGUUCCUUUGUAUAACAUAGGGGAGAAGAAAAGGUAACAUACAUCAUUUUUCUACAGAUCUCUUCAACAUGUUAGAAAAUAAUAGCUUCCAGAGCAGUUGUAGCACAGCAUGUUGCUCCACCUCCAGGAAUAGUGGAAAUAGAUAGUGAGAAGUUUGCUUGUCAGUGGCUAAAUGCUCAUUUUGAAGUAAAUCCAGAUUGUUCUGUUUCUCGAGCAGAAAUGUAUUCUGAAUACCUCUCGACUUGCAGUAAAUUAGCUCGUGGUGGAAUCCUAACAUCAACUGGAUUUUAUAAAUGUCUUAGAACGGUCUUUCCAAAUCAUACAGUGAAGAGAGUGGAGGAUUCCAGUAACAAUGGGCAGGCACAUAUUCAUGUGGUAGGAGUAAAACGGAGGGCUAUACCACUUCCCAUUCAGAUGUACUAUCAGCAGCAACCAGUUUCUACUUCUGUUGUUCGUGUUGAUUCUGUUCCUGAUGUAUCUCCUGCUCCUUCACCUGCAGGAAUCCCUCAUGGAUCACAAACCAUAGGAAACCAUUUUCAGAGGACUCCUGUUACCAACCAAUCUUCAAAUCUGACUGCAACACAAAUGUCUUUUCCUGUACAAGGUGUUCAUACUGUGGCACAAACUGUUUCAAGAAUUCCACAAAAUCCUUCACCUCAUACCCACCAGCAACAAAAUGCUCCAGUGACUGUCAUUCAAAGUAAAGCUCCAAUUCCUUGUGAAGUUGUUAAGGCUACAGUUAUCCAGAAUUCCAUACCCCAGACAGGCGUACCUGUUAGUAUUGCUGUUGGAGGAGGACCUCCACAGAGUUCUGUUGUUCAGAAUCAUAGUACAGGGCCACAACCUGUUACAGUUGUGAAUUCUCAGACAUUGCUUCACCAUCCAUCUGUAAUUCCACAGCAGUCUCCAUUACACACAGUGGUACCAGGACAGAUCCCUUCAGGCACUCCUGUUACAGUAAUUCAACAAGCUGUCCCACAGAGUCAUAUGUUUGGCAGAGUACAGAACAUACCAGCAUGUACUUCUACAGUUUCACAGGGUCAACAGUUAAUCACCACAUCACCCCAACCUGUGCAAACUUCAUCUCAACAGACAUCAGCUGGUAGCCAGUCACAAGAUACUGUUAUCAUAGCACCCCCACAGUAUGUAACAACUUCUGCAUCCAAUAUUGUCUCAGCAACUUCAGUACAGAAUUUUCAGGUAGCUACAGGACAAAUGGUUACUAUUGCUGGUGUCCCAAGUCCACAAGCCUCAAGGGUAGGGUUUCAGAACAUUGCACCAAAACCUCUCCCUUCUCAGCAGGUUUCAUCUACAGUGGUACAGCAGCCUAUUCAACAACCACAGCAGCCAACCCAACAAAGCGUAGUGAUUGUAAGCCAGCCAGCUCAACAAGGUCAAACUUAUGCACCAGCCAUUCACCAAAUUGUUCUUGCUAAUCCAGCAGCUCUUCCAGCUGGUCAGACAGUUCAGCUAACUGGACAGCCUAACAUAACUCCAUCUUCUUCACCAUCACCUGUCCCAGCUACUAAUAACCAAGUCCCUACUGCCAUGUCGUCGUCUUCUACCCCUCAAUCACAGGGACCACCUCCUACUGUCAGUCAAAUGUUAUCUGUGAAAAGGCAGCAACAGCAGCAACAUUCACCAGCACCCCCACCACAGCAGGUACAAGUACAAGUUCAGCAGCCCCAACAAGUACAGAUGCAAGUUCAACCUCAG
rnacentral:sRNA from 1 species